rnacentral:rRNA from 1 species
GAGAAAAUUUUGGAUUAAUACCUCAUAGUAUGUGAGAAUCGCAUGGUUUUCACAUUAAAGUUCCAACGGCAAAAGAUGAGCAUGCGUCCCAUUAGCUAGUUGGUAAGGUAACGGCUUACCAAGGCGACGAUGGGUAGGGGUCCUGAGAGGGAGAUCCCCCACACUGGUACUGAGACACGGACCAGACUCCUACGGGAGGCAGCAGUGAGGAAUAUUGGACAAUGGGCGCAAGCCUGAUCCAGCAAUGCCGCGUGCAGGAAGAAGGCCUUCGGGUUAGUAAACUGUCUUUUGUACGGAACGAAACGGUCUGGGCUAAUACCCCGGGGCUAAUGACGGUACCGUAAGAAUAAGCACCGGCUAACUACGUG